rnacentral:misc_RNA from 1 species
AACGCACCUUGCGCCCUUUGGCUAUUCUGAAGGGCAUGCCUGUUUGAGUAUCAUGAACACCUCAACUCUCAUGGUCCAUCCAUGAUGAGCUUGGACUUUGGGGGUCUUGCUGGCCUAGCGUCGGCUCCUCUCAAAUGGAUCAGCUUGCCAGUGUCUGGUGGCAUCACGGGUGUGAUAACUAUCUACGCUUGUGGUUUCCUGCCAUAUAACCUUCAGUGAUGGAGGUUCGCUGGAGCUCACAGAUGUCUCUCCUCGGUGAGGACAGCUUUUUGAACGUUUGAUCUCAAAUCAGGUAGGACUACCCGCUGAACUUAA